rnacentral:rRNA from 1 species
GGUUAAGCGACUAAGCGUACACGGUGGAUGCCCUGGCAGUCAGAGGCGAUGAAGGACGUGCUAAUCUGCGAAAAGCGUCGGUAAGGUGAUAUGAACCGUUACAGCCGGCGAUGUCCGAAUGGGGAAACCCAGUGCAAUUCGUUGCACUAUCGUUAACUGAAUACAUAGGUUAACGAGGCGAACCGGGGGAACUGAAACAUCUAAGUACCCCGAGGAAAAGAAAUCAACCGAGAUUCCCCCAGUAGCGGCGAGCGAACGGGGAGCAGCCCGGAGUCUGAAUCAGCUUGUGUGUUAGUGGAAGCGUCUGGAAAGUCGCAGGGUACAGGGUGAUACUCCCGUACACUAAAACACACAGGUUGUGAACUCGAAGAGUAGGGCGGGACACGUGGUAUCCUGUCUGAAUAUGGGGGGACCAUCCUCCAAGGCUAAAUACUCCUGACUGACCGAUAGUGAACCAGUACCGUGAGGGAAAGGCGAAAAGAACCCCGGCGAGGGGAGUGAAAAAGAACCUGAAACCGUGUACGUACAAGCAGUAGGAGCCCACUAGUUGGGUGACUGCGUACCUUUUGUAUAAUGGGUCAGCGACUUAUAUUCUGUAGCAAGGUUAACCGUAUAGGGGAGCCGCAGGGAAACCGAGUCUUAACUGGGCGUUAAGUUGCAGGGUAUAGACCCGAAACCCGGUGAUCUAGCCAUGGGCAGGUUGAAGGUUGGGUAACACUAACUGGAGGACCGAACCGACUAAUGUUGAAAAAUUAGCGGAUGACUUGUGGCUGGGGGUGAAAGGCCAAUCAAACCGGGAGAUAGCUGGUUCUCCCCGAAAGCUAUUUAGGUAGCGCCUCGUGAAUUCAUCUUCGGGGGUAGAGCACUGUUUCGGCUAGGGGGUCAUCCCGACUUACCAACCCGAUGCAAACUACGAAUACCGAAGAAUGUUAUCACGGGAGACACACGGCGGGUGCUAACGUCCGUCGUGAAGAGGGAAACAACCCAGACCGCCAGCUAAGGUCCCAAAGUCAUGGUUAAGUGGGAAACGAUGUGGGAAGGCCCAGACAGCCAGGAUGUUGGCUUAGAAGCAGCCAUCAUUUAAAGAAAGCGUAAUAGCUCACUGGUCGAGUCGGCCUGCGCGGAAGAUGUAACGGGGCUAAACCAUGCACCGAAGCUGCGGCAGCGACACUAUGUGUUGUUGGGUAGGGGAGCGUUCUGUAAGCCGUUGAAGGUGGCCUGUGAGGGUUGCUGGAGGUAUCAGAAGUGCGAAUGCUGACAUAAGUAACGAUAAUGCGGGUGAAAAACCCGCACGCCGGAAGACCAAGGGUUCCUGUCCAACGUUAAUCGGGGCAGGGUGAGUCGACCCCUAAGGCGAGGCCGAAAGGCGUAGUCGAUGGGAAACAGGUUAAUAUUCCUGUACUCGGUGUUACUGCGAAGGGGGGACGGAGAAGGCUAUGUUGGCCGGGCGACGGUUGUCCCGGUUUAAGCAUGUAGGCGGAUGUUCCAGGUAAAUCCGGAACGUCACUAACGCUGAGGUGUGAUGACGAGGCACUACGGUGCUGAAGUGACAAAUGCCCUGCUUCCAGGAAAAGCCUCUAAGCAUCAGGUAACAUCAAAUCGUACCCCAAACCGACACAGGUGGUCAGGUAGAGAAUACCAAGGCGCUUGAGAGAACUCGGGUGAAGGAACUAGGCAAAAUGGUGCCGUAACUUCGGGAGAAGGCACGCUGAUGGUAGGUGAAGUGACUUGCUCAUGGAGCUGAAAUCAGUCGAAGAUACCAGCUGGCUGCAACUGUUUAUUAAAAACACAGCACUGUGCAAACACGAAAGUGGACGUAUACGGUGUGACGCCUGCCCGGUGCCGGAAGGUUAAUUGAUGGGGUUAUCCGUAAGGAGAAGCUCUUGAUCGAAGCCCCGGUAAACGGCGGCCGUAACUAUAACGGUCCUAAGGUAGCGAAAUUCCUUGUCGGGUAAGUUCCGACCUGCACGAAUGGCGUAAUGAUGGCCAGGCUGUCUCCACCCGAGACUCAGUGAAAUUGAACUCGCUGUGAAGAUGCAGUGUACCCGCGGCAAGACGGAAAGACCCCGUGAACCUUUACUAUAGCUUGACACUGAACACUGGUCCUUGAUGUGUAGGAUAGGUGGGAGGCUUUGAAGUGUGGACGCCAGUCUGCAUGGAGCCAUCCUUGAAAUACCACCCUUUAAUGGCUGGUGUUCUAACGUGGGCCCGUAAUCCGGGUUGCGGACAGUGUCUGGUGGGUAGUUUGACUGGGGCGGUCUCCUCCUAAAGAGUAACGGAGGAGCACGAAGGUCAGCUAAUCCUGGUCGGACAUCAGGAGGUUAGUGCAAUGGCAUAAGCUGGCUUGACUGCGAGCGUGACGGCGCGAGCAGGUGCGAAAGCAGGUCAUAGUGAUCCGGUGGUUCUGAAUGGAAGGGCCAUCGCUCAACGGAUAAAAGGUACUCCGGGGAUAACAGGCUGAUACCGCCCAAGAGUUCAUAUCGACGGCGGUGUUUGGCACCUCGAUGUCGGCUCAUCACAUCCUGGGGCUGAAGUAGGUCCCAAGGGUAUGGCUGUUCGCCAUUUAAAGUGGUACGCGAGCUGGGUUUAGAACGUCGUGAGACAGUUCGGUCCCUAUCUGCCGUGGGCGCUGGAGAAUUGAGGGGGGCUGCUCCUAGUACGAGAGGACCGGAGUGGACGCAUCACUGGUGUUCGGGUUGUCAUGCCAAUGGCAUUGCCCGGUAGCUAAAUGCGGAAGAGAUAAGUGCUGAAAGCAUCUAAGCACGAAACUUGCCCCGAGAUGAGUUCUCCCUGACCCUUUAAGGGUCCUGAAGGAACGUUGAAGACGACGACGUUGAUAGGCCGGGUGUGUAAGCGCAGCGAUGCGUUGAGCUAACCGGUACUAAUGAACCGUGAGGCUUAACCUU